rnacentral:rRNA from 1 species
AACGAACGCUGGCGGCAUGCCUAACACAUGCAAGUCGAACGAGACCUUCGGGUCUAGUGGCGCACGGGUGCGUAACGCGUGGGAACCUGCCCUUAGGUUCGGAAUAACUCCCCGAAAGGGGUGCUAAUACCGGAUAAUGUCUUCGGACCAAAGAUUUAUCGCCUUUGGAUGGGCCCGCGUUGGAUUAGCUAGUUGGUAGGGUAAAAGCCUACCAAGGCGACGAUCCAUAGCUGGUCUGAGAGGAUGAUCAGCCACACUGGGACUGAGACACGGCCCAGACCCCUACGGGAGGCAGCAGGGGGGAAUAUUGGACAGGGGGCGAAAGCCUGAUCCAGCAAUGCCGGGUGAGGGAUGAAGGCCUUAGGGUUAUAAAGCUCUUUUACCCGGGAUGAUAAUGACAGUCCCGGGAGAAUAAGCCCCGGCUAACCCCGU